UUCCGGUUGAUCCCGCCGGAGGCUACCGCUAUUGGAGUUCGAUUAAGCCAUGCGAGUCCAGAGCUUUCGGAGCUCGGCGUACCGCUCAGUAACACGUGGGUAACCUAACCUAUGCAGGGGAAUAACCUCGGGAAACUGAGAAUAAUGCCCCAUAGUCCACUACGCCUGGAACGGUGAGUGGAUGAAAGCUCAGGCGGCAUAGGAUGGGCCUGCGGCGUAUCAGGUUGUAGGGGGUGUAAAGUACCCUCUAGCCCUCUACGCGUACGGGUGUUGGGAGACAUAGCCCGGAGAUGGAUUCUGAGACACGAAUCCAGACCCUACGGGGUGCAGCAGGCGCGAAAACUUGGCAAUGCGAGCAAUCGUGACCAGGGAACUCCAAGUGGCUGGGGUAAGACCCAGUCUUUUCAGAACUCUUCAAAGGUUUUAGAAUAAGGGGUGGGUAAGGACGGUGCCAGCCGCCGCGGUAAUACCGGCGCCUCAAGUGGUAGUCGCUUUUAUUGGGCCUAAAACGUCCGUAGCCGGUUUGGUACAUUCGUGGGUAAAUCAACUCGCUCAACGAGUUGAAUUCUGCGAGGACGGCCAGACUUGGGACCGGGAGAGGUGUGGGGUACUCUCAGGGUAGGGGUAAAAUCCUGUCAUCCUGAGAGGACCACCUGUUGCGAAGGCGCCACACUAGAACGGAUCCGACGGUCAGGGACGAAGCCUAGGGGCACGAACCGGAUUAGAUACCCGGGUAGUCCUAGGUGUAAACGCUGUGGACUUGAUGUUGGGGGUGCUCCGAGCACUCUCAGUGUCGAAGCGAAGGUGAUAAGUCCACUGCCUGGGAAGUACGGUCGCAAGGCUGAAACUUAAAGGAAUUGGCGGGGGAGCACCGCAACCUGAGGAUUGUGCGGUUUAAUUGGAGUCAACGCCGG
rnacentral:rRNA from 1 species